CGCCUUGCCAGCCCGCUCAGAACUCAAAUGAAUUGACGGGGGCCCGCACAAGCGGAGGAACAUGUGGUUUAAUUCGAUGAUACGCGAGGAACCUUACCUGGGCUAGAACGCAAUCGGAAUCAGGCCGAAAGGCCUGCGCCAGCGAUGGCCGGUUGCGAGGUGCUGCAUGGUUGUCGUCAGCUCGUGCCGUGAGGUGUCGGGUUAAGUCCCAUAACGAGCGCAACCCCUACUGCUAGUUGCCAGCGGGUCAUGCCGGGGACUCUAGCGGAACUGCCAGCGUAAGCUGCGAGGAAGGUGGGGAUGACGUCAAAUCAGCACGGCCCUUACGUCCAGGGCUACACACGUGUUACAAUGGCCAGUACAGAGGGCAGCCACCCCGCGAGGGGGCGCUAAUCCUAAAAGCUGGUCCCAGUUCGGAUCGGAGUCUGCAACCCGACUCCGUGAAGCUGGAUUCGCUAGUAAUCGCGCAUCAGCCACGGCGCGGUGAAUACGUUCCCGGGCCUU
rnacentral:rRNA from 1 species